CAUCACAAUAUUUCACUAACACACUUAAGGACACUUUUUAAAAAUGCACUUUGUAAUAAUAUCUAAAUAAUUUUAAAUUAUAGUAAGUACACUUUCAUCAUAAUAUUUAUAAACACACUUAAGUGCACUUUUAAAAAUGCACUUUGUAUUAAUGUCUAAUUAAGCUUAACUUAAAGAAAGUACACUUUCAACAUAAUAUUUAUAAACACACUUAAGUGCACUUUUAAAAAUGCACUUUUUAAUACUGUCUAAUUAAGCUUAACUUAUAGUAAGUACACUUUCAUCACAAUAUUUCUUAACAUACUUAAGUACACUUUUUAAAAAUGCACUUUGUCUAAUUUAGUUUUACUUAAAUGUAACCCUGGUUAAAUAAUUAAAUAUUAUUAUUUUAAAAGUGUGCUUAAAAAUAAAAGAGACUAUUCAUACAUCUACAUUUAUUUUAUAAAUGAGGAAAUACAUGUGAAUAAUUCAAUCUGAAUUAUAAAUCUGAAAUGAGUAAACCAAUCGGAGUGUUUAAUUGUAAGCUCCGCCCCUUUUUUGCUUUCUGAUCGCGUCUCAGUUCAGAGGAGAGAUGCAGAGCGACAGAGACACUCUAUCUAACGCGAGAGUGUUUAAUUUGAUUAAAUAUGACUCCUAAGUUCAUAUAAACUGAAGAAAUCAGAAUUUAACUUGCAUAUAUUCAAUGAUACAGCGUGAUUGUGUGGAUUGAGCACUUUUUGAGCUUUCAUUUUGACCUGUGUGAUUAUGUAAAACCACAUGGUGCGUUGUGUUCACUGCUGUUCGCUGACGCCAUUUUGGUUGCACGUGCCUGUGAAAGACAAAAAGAGAGGGAAACACGUGAAUGGACAGGUAUUUGUCUAAAUUGUCAUUUAUUAUGAUGAUGGCACUUAUGUAUUUAUUUUAUUUGUUUCCUGUAUUGUGUACAAUUGUUCAUCAUUAUUGAUACACAAUAUUGAAUGUUUUUCCUUUCGUAUGAACAUUCCUUGAGCUGGAUUUUCCUAAUUGAUGGCGAGCCUCCCAUUUCGACCUGAUUGGAUCACGAAUCUAGAGGAAAGGACAAAUUUCUAUUUUAAAUUUUUUUCUUCAGACAAGUAAGAGGAUACAUUUCAGAAACUGUUUCCUUAUUUUGUUUGUUUACUUCAUUGAACUGAAACAUUUCAGAAGCACAAAUCUGAUCAUUUAAGACUGAUCAAUACUCCAAUUGAUAAGAACUUUGAACUUGAAUACGGAUUUCAGUGUGUUACAUAUAUAAUUUGUACCAUCUUUGUACAUUGAUUGUGACUGUGAUUUCUGUAAAUGAGAAGUAAUUUAGAGGGUGCACCCAUAGUAUAUAUCCCCCUUCUUCAAAUCUUACCCUGGAGGUCCGGAGCACUACAGAGUUAAGCUCCAACCCUGAUCAAACACACCUGAGCAAGCUAAUCAAGGUCUUCAUGAUCACUAGGAAAUCACAGGUGGGUAAGUUUGAUUAGGGUUAGAGCUAAACUCUGUAGUGCUCUGGACCUCCAGGGUAAGAUUUGAGGAACCCUGGUAUAUAUAGUUAAUUGUAUUUUCAUUGUUGUUUACUAUUUUUUGUGAUUAAGGAAAGAAAAAGAAAGGUUUCUCAAUACUCAAAGUAAAAUAAUUUAUUAAUCAACUUACCUUCUGUCUCUGCUUGUUGCUCACUAUCACUGCUACCUCCUCCUUCGUACCGUGCACCCUUCUGAUCUUAUUAUUAUGCCUGGUCCAUAAGUAAGUGAGUUAAUACCCGCUACAUAAAGAAAGUACACUUUCAUGGCAAUAUUUCUAAACGCAUUUAAUAAAUGAUCAUUAGACUGAUGUGACCUACCAAAGACUUGUUAAUUUAAAGUUCAUGCAGUUAUUUUUUAGUUGUCUGUUAAAAUGUUAAAAAAUAAUAACUUUGAGUUUAUUUUUUUCUAAGGGAUGUAAUUAUUCAAUAUUGAUAGUUGUUUGAUUCCAAUUUAACAAUAUUAAAAUGAGUUUUUUUUUUGUUUGGACAUAUACAACUCAUAAUUAAUUUAUUAAAUGUACUUUUGCAAAACAAAAAAUCUGACUACCAAACUGUUUUAUUGUCAGUGUAAGCAUUGUGGUUUUUGUUUGUUUGCAAUGCAUUAAACUGAAAUGAAUACA